rnacentral:misc_RNA from 1 species
GAAAAUAAUUCUCAUGAAUGAAACCAAAAAUAGCUUUACAGCGGCAGCUUGCGGUGCAGCUGACUAGAAAAAGAAAAAAAACUUCUCAUAAUACAUUGUGCAGACGCGCGCGGUCGUCUGCGGGCUGAAUAAAGUCCGAUGUGGAAAUUACCCCACUAAUUAUAAUUAUCGCACUGUGAAAUCGUUCAGUUUCCUUUCUCCACUCAAACCGUGAAUGUAAUACAGAUUGGAAGAAAGAAAAAUGAAUAAAAAAAAAUUACUAGAACCUGGGAAAAUUUCAACAAAUCCCGAGUUACAGGUGAGGUUGGAUCUACGUCGUUCAACUCUUGGGAGGCUAUCACGCACGCUGCCGUAUACACGUGUACGAUACGUCACAAGUAAAACGCAAUAUUAUACCGAAGUCGAAGAAUUGAGAACCCUUUAGCGCCAAAAUUAGCUUUACGGGUUUUAAUUAUAGACCGGGAUGAGAUUCCCCAAACUCGGGGCGUGAAUGAAAUCUGGUUUGUGUCUUGUCUUCGACUGUUAAACGCUAAUCACGUCUUCUUUUUCACAUUCUUACACAGUUUAUGUUUUUCGUCUGUUCUUUCCAUUCUCAAAAUAUCACUGAUCCUACAGCUCAGAUGUAUGUAAUUGAGGCUAAUUAAUGAAUACAAGUUAGCUAUAAUUUUCAACACUUUUUUCGGAGCUGAAAGUACAUAAUUAAUGAAAAAUUUACAUCUAUAAUUAAAACAACGGCAUAUAACUAGAGCGAAGCUCCGUAAUAGGGAAAUACUUCCUCGAACAUAUCCAUCAAAUAAUGCGCCAUUUGAAUUUUGUAUAUACCUACAUGAAUUCAUUGAGAAGCGACGCGUAAUUGGUGGGCUAAGUACUUUCAAAUAAAUAUGAGGGGACUGAAAACUUGAUGCGUUACAGAUCGUUAUAACGAUUCAUGCAGAUGUAAAAAAAAAAUAA